CGUGUAGGCGGCUUUUUAAGUCUGGAGUGAAAGUCCUGCUUUCAAGGUGGGAAUUGCUUUGGAAACUGGAGAGCUUGAGUGCGGAAGAGGCAAGUGGAAUUCCCAGUGUAGCGGUGAAAUGCGUAGAGAUUGGGAGGAACACCAGUGGCGAAGGCGACUUGCUGGGCCGUAACUGACGCUGAUGCGCGAAAGCGUGGGGAGCGAACA
rnacentral:rRNA from 1 species